UUUCCGGUUGAUCCUGCCGGACCUGACUGCUAUCGGAUUGAUACUAAGCCAUGCGAGUCAUUGUAGCAAUACAAGGCAUACGGCUCAGUAACGCGUAGUCAACCUAACCUAUGGACGGGAAUAACCUCGGGAAACUGAGAAUAAUGCCCGAUAGAACAUUAUACCUGGAAUGGUUUAUGUUCCAAAUGAUUUAUCGCCGUAGGAUGGGACUGCGGCCUAUCAGUUUGUUGGUGAGGUAAUGGCCCACCAAGACUAUUACAGGUACGGGCUCUGAGAGGAGUAGCCCGGAGAUGGGUACUGAGACACGGACCCAGGCCCUAUGGGGCGCAGCAGGCGAGAAAACUUUGCAAUGUGCGAAAGCACGACAAGGUUAAUCCGAGUGAUUUCUGCUAAAGAAAUCUUUUGUUAGUCCUAGAAACACUAACGAAUAAGGGGUGGGCAAGUUCUGGUGUCAGCCGCCGCGGUAAAACCAGCACCUCAAGUGGUCAGGAUGAUUAUUGGGCCUAAAGCAUCCGUAGCCGGCUCUGUAAGUUUUCGGUUAAAUCUGUACGCUUAACGUACAGGCCGCCGGGAAUACUGCAAAGCUAGGGAGUGGGAGAAGUAGACGGUACUCGGUAGGAAGUGGUAAAAUGCUUUGAUCUAUCGAUGACCACCUGUGGCGAAGGCGGUCUACUAGAACACGUCCGACGGUGAGGGAUGAAAGCUGGGGGAGCAAACCGGAUUAGAUACCCGGGUAGUCCCAGCUGUAAACUAUGCAAACUCAGUGAUGCAUUGGCUUGUGGCCAAUGCAGUGCUGCAGGGAAGCCGUUAAGUUUGCCGCCUGGGAAGUACGUACGCAAGUAUGAAACUUAAAGGAAUUGGCGGGGGAGCACCACAAGGGGUGAAGCCUGCGGUUCAAUUGGAUUCAACGCCGGG
rnacentral:rRNA from 1 species